rnacentral:rRNA from 1 species
GUGGGGUAACGGCCUACCAAGGCGAUGACGGGUAGCUGGCGUGAGAGCGUGGCCAGCCACACUGGGACUGAGACACGGCCCAGACUCCUACGGGAGGCAGCAGUGGGGAAUAUUGCGCAAUGGGCGAAAGCCUGACGCAGCGACGCCGCGUGGGGGAGGACGGCCUCAGGGUUGUAAACCCCUGUCAGGUGGGACGAACCACGGAUCGGCUAAUACCCGGUCCGCCUGACGGUACCACCAGAGGAAGCUCCGGCUAACUCCGUGCCAGCAGCCGCGGUAAUACGGAGGGAGCAAGCGUUGUUCGGAAUCACUGGGCGUAAAGGGCGCGUAGGCGGUCGGGUAAGUCGGGUGUGAAAUUCCGGGGCUCAACCCCGCGAACUGCAUCCGAUACUGCUCGACUAGAGAGAGGUAGGGGCGAGUAGAAUUCCCGGUGUAGCGGUGGGAUGCGUAGAUAUCGGGAAGAACACCGGUGGCGAAGGCGGCUCGCUGGGCCUUUUCUGACGCUGAAGCGCGAAAGCGUGGGGAGCAAACAGGAUAGAUACCCUGGUAGUCCACGCCGUAAACGAUGGGUACUAGGUGUUGGGAGGAUUGACCCUCUCAGUGCCGACGCUAACGCAUUAAGUA